GCUUGUCUCAAAGAUUAAGCCAUGCAUGUCUCAGUAUAAGCUUUUACACGGCGAAACUGCGAAUGGCUCAUUAAAACAGUUAUCGUUUCUUUGGUGGUUAUUGAUUACAUGGAUAACCGUGGUAAUUCUAGAGCUAAUACAUGCGCCCAGACCCAACUUUUAGGAAGGGUUGUAUUUAUUAGAUAAAAACCAAUGCCCUUCGGGGCUCCUUGGUGAAUCAUAAUAACUUAACGAAUCGCAUGGCCUUGCGCCGGCGAUGGUUCAUUCAAAUUUCUGCCCUAUCAACUUUCGAUGGUAGGAUAGUGGCCUACCAUGGUAUCAACGGGUAACGGGGAAUUAGGGUUCGACUCCGGAGAGGGAGCCUGAGAAACGGCUACCACAUCCAAGGAAGGCAGCA
rnacentral:rRNA from 1 species